rnacentral:tRNA from 1 species
GCACCGGUGGUGUAAGGUGAACAUCGCUGCCCGGAAAGCAGAAGAUGCGGGUUCGAGUCCCGCCUGGCGCA